UACGAAGGGGGCAAGCGUUAAUCGGAAUUACUGGGCGUAAAGCGUGCGUAGGCGGUUUCUUAAGUCUGCUGUGAAAGCCCUGGGCUCAACCUGGGAAUGGCGGUGGAUACUGAGAAGCUGGAGUACGGUAGAGGAAGGUGGAAUUCCCGGUGUAGCGGUGAAAUGCGUAGAGAUCGGGAGGAACAUCAGUGGCGAAGGCGGCCUUCUGGACCAGUACUGACGCUGAGGCACGAAAGCGUGGGGAGCAAACAGG
rnacentral:rRNA from 1 species